AUUGUAGGCUGCAACUCGCCUACAUGAAGUCGGAGUUGCUAGUAAUCGCGGAUCAGAAUGCCGCGGUGAAUGCGUUCCCGGGUCUUGUACACACCGCCCGUCACACCAUGGAAGUUGGGGGCGCCCGAAGUUGCCUAAGAAAUAAGGUACCUAAGGCGAAACCAAUGACUGGGUGAAGUCGUAACAAGGUAAC
rnacentral:rRNA from 1 species